GGCUCCUCCCAAACGCCCCCAGCGCCAGCGGCAGACCUGCGACUGAGCCUUCAGAUCCUUCAGGAGGUCCUGCACGUCCGACGCCUUGGCCUGGUUGCACGGCACCAGCGGCAGCUCCGCGGCGCAACUGCGGUCGCGGCCGAGGCACAGGCGCUGCGCGAAGGCCGCGCUCCCGGUGGCCGCACACUCGUAAAAGGCGCCCCCGAGCAGCGCCACGGCCACCCAGGUGAGGGGCGCGAGCGCGGCGGCCGCGCUGAUUUGCGCGCACACCAGGGAGCCGCGCAGCGCCGGUCCGCAACUCGCGCGGGCGUUGGAGCAGCAUCCGGUGAGCAGGCGCCACGUGCGUGCGCUCAGCACGUAGCCCAGGAGGAAGAGCGCGAGCGCCGGCACCAGCAAGAAGACCAGGCCGUAGGGCAGGUUCCAGGUGGCGCUGCACGGGCACUGGAAUGCCACGGCGGAGAAGAUGCGCUCCCCGCCCGCCGUCAGCAGGGUCACCAGGCCGUAGCCCAAGGCGCUGUGGUGCUUGAGGUGCAGGUCCAGCACCGCCCGAAACUUCUCCAUGAGCCUCGUCCCCCGGGGCGUCGCGCACAGGCCCAAUAUGUCAUAACACUGUCAAUGCCUGGAGGAGGGUAAAAUUCUGACUCUGACCACCAAGCUGAUCUGCACAGAAGGGGAUACAUGAUUAUUCAAAGAAUGCUAGUUGAACCCAAAAUUUCAAACUGCAGCUACAUCUAUCUAAUGUUGUUUCCUCCACCUUCAGUUUUCUCAAGGCAGCGUUGUUCUGACACAAACACUGUAACCACUUCUGUGAUAUUGAGCCUUACUCUGUGUGACUCCAGAGUGAGCUGAGGUGUGCUUGAAAGAACAUGGGCUUUGAAGUCAAGUGCAUCUUGUCUGUGGUGUGUUUAACAAGUAUGCCC
rnacentral:lncRNA from 1 species